AGUGAACGCUGGCGGUAGGCCUAACACAUGCAAGUCGAACGGCAGCACAGUAAGAGCUUGCUCUUACGGGUGGCGAGUGGCGGACGGGUGAGGAAUACAUCGGAACCUACUUUUUCGUGGGGGAUAACGUAGGGAAACUUACGCUAAUACCGCAUACGACCUACGGGUGAAAGCAGGGGAUCUUCGGACCUUGCGCGAUUGAAUGAGCCGAUGUCGGAUUAGCUAGUUGGCGGGGUAAAGGCCCACCAAGGCGACGAUCCGUAGCUGGUCUGAGAGGAUGAUCAGCCACACUGGAACUGAGACACGGCCCAGACUCCUACGGGAGGCAGCAGUGGGGAAUAUUGGACAAUGGGCGCAAGCCUGAUCCAGCCAUACCGCGUGGGUUAAGAAGGCCUUCGGGUUGUAAAGCCCUUUUGUUGGGAAAGAAAAGCAGCAGGUUAAUACCCCGCUGUUCUGACGGUACCCAAAGAAUAAGCACCGGCUAACUUCGUG
rnacentral:rRNA from 1 species